CAAAUUUUCCAUUUUGCCAAUCCAAUGAGGAAUAUUGCCUUCCAAAUGAUUCCACGACAAGUCAAGCACUUGCAAUUUACUGCAAUUGUAUAACCACGUCGGAAUUUGCCCAUCCAGACCGCAGUUCCCCAAUGCAAAUAUCAUCAGGUUUUCAAAUCCGCUCACAUUUUUGGGAAUCUCUUCACCAUGGAAGUUCCUGGUGAGAAUAAGAGUCGAAAGAUUUCUGCAGUGCUGCAGAACAGAUAGAGCUCCAGAUAAAUUAGCAAAUAUCAUCAGGCUCUCAAACCCGCUCACGUUUUUGGGUAUCUCUUCACCAUGGAAGUUCCUGGUGAGAAUAAGAGUUGAAAGAUUCCUGCAGUGCUGUAGAACAGAUAGAGCUCCAGAUAAAUUGGAAAGGGUAUUAUUGGACAAUGAGAG
rnacentral:lncRNA from 1 species